rnacentral:rRNA from 1 species
AUGCCGUGGACGCCGCCGGCAAGCCGGAUGGCGGCGUGCCCCGGCCGUCUCGGGUCCGCCAUCUUGCUCUUCUCACCGCCACCUUAUGCGCACCGAUCUUCUACACGCACUACGGCGUACCAGGCAGCAUGGGUGGAGUUGGCCAAGCACCUACUCCGCCAUGGCCACAACACCGUCCUCGCCGUCGUCGACCCACCGGACGGCGACGCCGCCUCGGCCGCCGCCGUGGCCCGACUCGCCGCGGCUAACCCUUCCAUCGCCUUCCGCCUCCUCCCGGUCCCUCCCAGCUCGGACCCCGCCGCGCACCCGGUCAGGCGCGCCCAUGACACGCUCCGCCUCGCCAACCCCGCGCUUCGGGCCUUCCUGCGCAAGCUGCCGGCCCCCGCCGACGCGCUCCUGCUCGACAUGUUCUGCGUCGACGCGCUCGACGUCGCCACCGAGCUCGCCCUCCCCGCCUACUUCUUCUUUGCCUCCGCCGCCAGCGACCUCGCCGUCUUCCUCAACUUGCCGUACCUCUACCCCCGGCCUGCCGUCCUUCAGGGACAUGCGCGACGCGCUCGUGCGUUGCCCCGGCGUGCCGCCGAUCCGCGCGGUGGACAUGCUGGUCACGGUGCAGGACAAGGAGAGCGACCUCACCAAGGUCUGCCUGCACCAGUUCAAGCGCAUCGCGGAGGGGAGGGGCGUGCUGGUCAACAGCUUCGACUGGCUGGAGCCCACGGCCCUGAAAGCGCUCGCCGACGGCGUCUGCGUGCCCGACCGACCGACGCCGAGGGUCUACUGCAUCGGGCCAUUGGUGAACGGCGGCGACGCGGGCGCAGGCGGCGAGAAGCGGCACGAGUGCCUCGCGUGACUCGACGCGCAGCCGGAGAAGAGCGUUGUGUUCCUCUGUUUCGGCAGCAAGGGCGCCUUCUCGGCGGCGCAGCUGAAGGAGAUCACUCGCGGGCUAGAGAGCUCCGGGCACCGGUUCCUGUGGGCGGUGAGGAGCCCGCCGGAGGAACAGAGGGAGUUCCCCGAGCCGGACCUCGAGCGGCUGCUCCCGGCUGA